UUGAUAAGCGUGGAGGUCGGAGGUUCAAGUCCUCCCAGGCCCACCAAUUUAUGCUCGUUUUUUGCUUAUCCAAGAGUAUAAAGCUUAAGCGUAUUAAAGCCUCUUCAAUCUUUGUUUAUUUUUAAAGAUUUUAUUUUAUCAUUCAGAGAUUGUUUGUUAAAUUUAUCCCAUUAAGCUUCCAAAGAGGCUUUGUCCCUUCAGUGGUACAGAUAAAUUUACAUGAUACAAAUCAAAACAGGACAGGUAAUUCAAAUUGGUGAAUUUGGUUAUGGUUGAUUUGAGAGAGCAUUGUUUAGGGGCCGUAGCUCAGCUGGGAGAGCACCUGCUUUG
rnacentral:misc_RNA from 1 species